UUAAACACUAAAACUCUUCCAUAAAACUCAUAUAUAUUUUAAAAAACAGAGAACAACCAAGCGGAGAACCCUCCAAGAGUUACUGAUGGACCUUGCCGGAAAAGCUCAUCUCCAGCGACCUUUCUCUGUUUGUCUCAUUUUAUCACGUCUGAGAGAACCCUUGUACAUAUUAGUUAAUUUAAUUGUUGGGGAGAGUUGAAGUGAAGAUGCCUCCGAUUGGAUUCUAUCUUUGCCACCUUCACCGGGCAAAUUUGAAAGAAACGACUCCAAUGAAAUCUUCACUCUUGUCUCUUUAUCAUCUUCUUGAUGCUGAAUUUGGGUUAUCUCACUUUUUCUAGUUUGUUAUUUUUUGUGUAAAUUUUUCCUUAAAUUGUUGUCUAGUCGAUUCAAGCGAUUGGUUCUUGUUUUUGUGUUUCUGUUGGAAGUAAGAUGUCGUCGUCAGUAGUAAUUAAAGGGGCUGUUGAUAUUUCCAAUGCAUCGCUCCUUUCCUCCAAAUUUUAUCAUCUCUUCAAUAAAAGACUAGCCUUCCAUUUGGUAUUUGAAACAAUCCAAAUUGGAAUUUUGCUUAUAUCUUGGUACAAAGUAACGGAUGGAGG
rnacentral:lncRNA from 1 species